rfam:Legionella feeleii strain WO-44C Lfee_ctg085, whole genome shotgun sequence.
GCGGGUGUAGUUCAAUGGUAGAACUUCAGCCUUCCAAGCUGAUAGCGUGGGUUCGAUUCCCAUCACCCGCU